rnacentral:lncRNA from 1 species
AUGGGCACCGCGGCCGGCGCUGGGCUGCGGGCGGCUUUGCCGCGGGAGUGGGCAAAAGUUUGUGGUUCGGUGACGCCUCCGCGGGACCCGCUGGGGACGCCCCCGCGCGGCCUCCCCCGGGAAGGGGAAGCCGGGUCCCCACCGCCCAGCCCUCCCCACGCUCCAAGCCCAGGGCUCGAGCCGCCUGGGGUCCCAGGAGUGCCAGCCCCGCAGCCGGAGGACAGGCGGCCCCACCGCCCUCGCCGCCACCGCGUCACGGCCUCCAGGCGGCCCCGGCCCCGCUGCUCGAGAUGUCGCCGGCGCCGCCAGGGCUCCAGGGACGUCGUCCAGGGAUGUCCCCCGCCCCGCGCCCCCCGCGCAGCUCCCGCUCCUGUGCCACCCGCAGCCCGGCGGGCAGGGCCGGUGCUCCUGCCAUUUGGGACAGCCGGGCUAUUGUUCGGGACCCGCGGCCGCGCCGGCUCUGAGCGAGAAGCGGCCUUCCCCGCGCGGGCGGCGGCGCGGCGGGCCCGGACGGCCGGCUCCGCGCCGAGGGGGAGCUCGCAGGCACCGGGAAAAGUUGCUCGGAGGGGCGGAGGCGGUGGGUGGUGGGCGGAGGCGGUGGGUGGGGGAGGCGAUAGCCCUCCUAUCUCCAAAGUCGAAAGUACUCGGCGCAGUUGGCAGCACCGGGAGCCGAGGCAGCGCGGCCGCCUCCUGCGCGUCGGUCUGCGCCUCCGCCGGGAGACAGGCAGCCAGCUCCUGCCUCGUCGCCUCCGCCUCCGCGCCGGGACGAGCGCGCCUAGGGGCUGGGCGAGGCAGCCGCGCCCUGGACCCGCCACGAGGAGGAGGACCAGACCCCGGGCCCCGGCGCCCGCCGGCACCCGGGCGCACCCACCCACCGGCCGCGGCCAGCGCCCCGCGCGGCACCCGGUUCGCUGCCAUCGGUCCUCCGCCGCCCUGCGCGCGCGGUGCUCGCCACACCGCUCUCCCACCGCCGGCUCUCCUCUUCCUUCUCCUCCCUCCUCCCUGCCUCCCACCCACCCCUCGCCUGUCCCUCUGCAUCCUCCGCAGCCCCGCCGCUGUUGGGUCGCCGGGCUCACAGCGAUUGAUUGA